GCAAAUAUAUCAUUAAAAAAGUCACAUCUGUCUCCAGUACAACUAUCCUGGAAGUUUCGCAUCCAAGAUACCUGCCAUCCCUACCCUUUUCCAAAGACUGUCCAUACAUAGCAGAGGAGUGGUGAUAAAUAUUAUCCAGAACCUCAGAGCACAGAUUUAUAGGUUGAAAGGAAAAUAAUUUGUAGCAAAAGUGGUUCACGUUUUUGUCAGGAAUAUAAAACUAGAUAAAAAACCAUAGUGAUAAAAACACCUGCCAAUAGUUAAAGUCCAAGAAACUUGGAAUAAUAAAAAGAAAGCUAUAAAUCCCAUUGGGAAAAAAAAAAAUAGUGAGUGCCGUGCCACAAAACUGUACAGAGUUUCAGGCUCCACCUCAAAACAGGAAGCUUGUGCAUUUGAAAAUGACAGCAAUUGACAUGCUGCAAAAUACUCCACUGAAGUUUAAAGCAGCAUGUCCCAUGGCUGCACUGCUGAUAACUGUUAUACCAAAUAGGGAUUAGUAUUCAGCUGAUGAAUAAUAGUUUAGGGAAGUAAUUAUACAUGGAGAUAAUGGCUAGAAAAAUCUAGGUUUAGUUGUUAAGUAAAAACAUUAUCUGCCUAGAAAGGAAUUGGUGAUUGGAGAAUUUUUAUUAAGAAAAUACAAAAAUUUGGUCAAAGCCUUGCCAGAGUGAGUUGUUUUUGAAAACUAGACUUUUCAAGUCCGCCAUAUUGAGCAUCACUGGGGAAAUACUGAGUGUAAGGUGAUUUUCCCCAAUGAGUUAGGACUCCGGAUUCACUAGGGAACCCAAAAGUCUCUGCUGCACAUAGUGGCCACAAUGAAGGAGACUGGGACAACAGGUAUAAAACAUAAUAUUUUUAACUAGACCCCAAAUAACUCAUUUCAAAAAUGGGCAGAGAUUUUCAAUAGACAUUUCUCCAAAGAAGACACACAAAUGGCCAAAAAUACAGUCACUGUGGAAAACAACUCGGUGGUUCCUCAAAAAGUUAAACAUAGAAUCACCAUGCAGCCCAGAAAUUUCACUCCCAGGUAUAUACCCUCCCAAACUGAAAAGAGAUAGUCAAACAAAUGCUUGUACAUGUAGGUUCAGAGCAGCACUAUUCACAAGAGCCAAAAGGCAGAAACAAUCCAAAUGUCCAUAAGUAGACAAACGAAUAAACAAAAUGUGGAUAUACACACAAUGGAAUAUUAUUCACUACGGAAGGGAAUGAAGUACUGAUACAGGCUACAAUGUGAAUGAGCCCACAAAAACUACGUGACGUGAAAGAACUCAGGCAAAGGUCACACAUUGGUUGAAUCCCUUGAUUUUGGAACCACCAGCAACGGAAGGGCCAACAGUGCUAUGUCAUUGUAUAUAAAGGACUUGAGCAUUUCAAAGAUUUUGGUACUUGUGGUGCUGGGGUGGGGGAAGUCCUGGAACCCAUCCCUUGUGGAUACCAAGGGAUAACGGUAUAAGGAAUGAUAGAAAUAACCAUUGGGUAACAUCAUAAUAGUACUUGAUUUAGCCAAGGAUCAUCACUGGAUGCUAAAACUACUACAUAAGAGUUAAUAAGGAAUAGAAUAUUCAGAUAAAACAUACUACUCAAAUACCCUCCCCACAAGAAGUUAGUGCUACAGUGCAGAAACCUGGCAGAUGCUACCUUUGCUAAGAGAGCAACGCCGACAUCACUAAAACUGGGGGAGAAUGGCAUCCUGUGCCUUCUGAUAGGGCGUACAAGUUGCAUUUCUUUCACAACAGAAAACACCAAUCCAAUCAUGAAGAAAUAUUAGGGAAAAAAAAUAAGGGACAUUAUAUAAAAUUCAAAAAAAUGCCAGUGUCAUGAAAAACAGCCAAAAGAGACAGAGUAACUACAGGCAAUGUGUGUGUGUGGUGCUCAACUUGAUUCUUAGUUAGGACAAAGAAAUGGCUAUAAAGAACACUACUUGAACAAUUGAUGAAACUUAAAUACAGACUUCAUAUUAGACAAUAGCAUUAUGAUGCUGUCAAAAAUUCUGAAUUUGAUCAUCGUACUAUGUUAUAUAAGAGAAAAGCUUCUUAGAAAGUAUUUAGGGUUAAAGGGUCAUCAUAUCUGCAAUUUACUUUCAAAUAGGUUAGCAAUAAUGAUAGCAAUAAAAAUGACAAGUGUGUGUGGGGUGUGUGUGUACAUAUAGAGAGAGUGAGCAAGCAAAUAUGCCAAAACGCUAUCAAUUGUUAGGAGUAUUGGGGCAAUCCUUGUUCUAUUCUUGCAACUUUUCUAAAAGUUUGGAAUUUUUUUAAAUCAAAAACUAAAUUUUUAAAAAUUGUGUUUCUAAGAUAAGUUUGUUUUCAUUCAAGCCUAUAUGCUUAUAUACAGAGAUUAGAAACUGUGUUCUCAGCCACACUAUCUCUUAAUUGCCACUUGUCCCCUAGAAGCAUGGCAAAAAGAAAUGAGAAAGCUCAUUUGUUUAUUGUGUCUAUCUGCUUGCCAGUGCAAGAUUAUUCCCUGUGGCAUCACUUUUAAGGCUAACUUGGGUCCACUUUCAGGAGUCUCCAGUGUGUGGGAUUCCACCAUUCCCUGGAGAGGUAUCCUCUGUUAACUGUCGUUUGUUGAAAU
rnacentral:lncRNA from 1 species